ACCGGUCACCGACGACUGCGCGAUCGACUUCACCGGGCGGAAAUCGGUGCCGGUAUAGUAUUCGGUGAUCCAGAUGAUGAGACCGGUCACCACCAAACCAACGACGCCGCACUCGAACAGGGCGAGGCCGGUGUACUUCACGCCAGCAAGCGGACCGAAGCCGAUCAACUGGUGAAUGACAAUGGCCACACCGAUCAACGACAGAACGCCGGUGGC
rnacentral:misc_RNA from 1 species